rnacentral:rRNA from 1 species
CGAACGGGUGAGUAAUAUAUUGGAACGUGCCCAGUAGUGGGGGGUAGCCCGGCGAAAGCCGGAUUAAUACCGCAUACGACCUACGGGUGAAAGGGGGGAUCGCAAGACCUCUCGCUAUUGGAGCGGCCGAUAUCAGAUUAGCUAGUUGGUGGGGUAAAAGCUCACCAAGGCGACGAUCUGUAGCUGGUCUGAGAGGACGACCAGCCACACUGGGACUGAGACACGGCCCAG